GUGGGGAAUUUUGCGCAAUGGGGGAAACCCUGACGCAGCAACGCCGCGUGGAGGAUGAAGUCCCUUGGGACGUAAACUCCUUUCGACCGGGACGAUUAUGACGGUACCGGAAGAAGAAGCCCCGGCUAACUUCGU
rnacentral:rRNA from 1 species